AUUGUGCUUUAUUUUGUAGAUAUUUCUGGAAACCAAGCUGAGAGCUAAGCUCAUGGUGCUGGCUGCAGCCAUUGUGCUAGGGAUUGAAAUGAAAUCUGGAAACACAUUUGGAAUGGCUUGGCCAGUCAAGGUUAAUAAUGAAAAUACUGAAUAGAACACACCUAUGAAUCAGCCUCUGUAACUUUGUGCAAGCAGCACAAUCUCUACCCCGUGUACAAAGAACAUCCAUCAAAAUAAAUAUAACAGCCUUGAUAGGAAGAAAGGCCA
rnacentral:lncRNA from 1 species